CCAUACACCAAGCUGGGUGCACAGAUGUUCAUUGCAAUGGAAAUCAACUAAUUGGUGCUGCUGAGGUUGCAGCUAGACAAGCUGAUGCAACCGUCUUAGUAAUAGGCCUUGACCAAUCAAUUGAAGCAGAGUUCAGAGACCGGACCGACCUCCUCUUGCCUGGACACCAACAAGAGCUGGUGUCCAGGGUGGCUAGGGCUUCUAGGGGGCCGACCAUUCUGGUCAUAAUGUCAGGCGGCCCUAUUGAUGUGACGUUUGCAAAGAAUGACCCUCGCAUUGGAGCGAUUAUUUGGGUUGGGUAUCCAGGCCAGGCUGGAGGAACUGCCAUUGCUGAUGUUCUAUUCGGCACUACAAACCCAAGU
rnacentral:lncRNA from 1 species